GAAGAAAUAGAUUAAAUUGUUGCAAUUUUGUGUGCAUUACAAGAGAAACAUUGCAUUACGUAGAAAACAAUACAGGCACCGCUUACACCCCACCAUGAUUUAAAAACAUAUUAGAGAUCUCAUACACUACAUUAUGAGAAUGACGUCCUGAAAGUGAACCUCGAUGGCGCGGAGCAUCCAACCCCGCAUGUUCUUCCUCAGCUAUGACCGCAACCAUCAUGAGAUCCUCAGGAGGAAUCUUUGCAAAAUUGCCAUGCCAAGCUUCGGCGGUGACUCAUUUUGUUGUGGAAAGAUGCAAGAGCGGUGAAAACGAAAUAGAAAAGGAGGCAGAAGCAAGAUUGUUAGAGAUAUGAGAGCAAGCCAAUCAUGUAUAUAUAGAUAAAAAAAACUAGCCAUUAGAAAUCCGGUCGUUUUAAAACUAGCACUGAGUUUCAAAUAGAAUAGGGGAGAUCUUUUAGGGAAACUGCUGGAGUUGAACAAUUUUUAGGGGAAAAGGAGACAGAAGCAAGAUUGUGAGAGAUAUGAGAGCAAGCCAAUCAUGUAUAUAUAGAUAAAAAAAACUAGCCAUUAGAAAUCCGGUCGUUUAAAAACUAGCGUUGGUUUUCAAAUAGAAUAGGAAAGAUCUUUUAGGGGAACUGCUGGAAUUGAAUAAUUUUUAGGGGAAAAGGGGGCAGAAGCAAGAUUG
rnacentral:lncRNA from 1 species